rnacentral:rRNA from 1 species
GGAGGGGGGCUAGCGUUGUUCAGAAUUACUGGGCGUAAAGGGGGGCGCGUAGGCGGCCUGCCAAGUCAGGGGGUGAAAGGCCCGGGCUCAACCCGGGAACUGCCCUUGAAACUGGCAAGCUAGAGUCCGAGAGAGGAUGGCGGAAUUCCCAGUGUAGAGGUGAAAUUCGUAGAUAUUGGGAAGAACACCGGUGGCGAAGGCGGCCAUCUGGCUCGGUACUGACGCUGAGGCGCGAAAGCGUGGGGAGCAAACAGGAUUAGAUACCCUGGUAGUCCACGCCGUAAACAAUGUGUGCUAGACGUUGGGGGUCUUAGGCCUUCGGUGUCGCAGCUAACGCGUUAAGCACACCGCCUGGGGAGUACGGCCGCAAGGUUA